UUAUGAUGCGUAUCCCUCCUUCGAAAUUGCGGUGCUGAGAUGAUGAUAAAGUAGAAGCUUGUGUGGAAUAAGGCUGCAGCCAGAACGGAAUGAAUAUUUGUUUUCUUUGAACUGGAACGGCAACAGUGGCAGCAUAGACGAUCGUCUCGAACAUGACGACUGCAACGAACCGACAUGGAACCGCGGACAAUAACUUAAAUAACAACUAUGCAUAAGCACAAAUAUACUUAUAGUUUAUUUCCUAA